UGGGGAAUAUUGCACAAUGGGGGAAACCCUGAUGCAGCGACGCCGCGUGAGCGAAGAAGGCUUUCGAGUCGUAAAGCUCUGUCCUAUGAGAAGAUAAUGACGGUAUCAUAGGAGGAAGCCCUGGCUAAAUACGUGCCAGCAGCCGCGGUAAUACGUAUGGGGCGAGCGUUGUCCGGAAUUAUUGGGCGUAAAGGGUACGUAGGUGGUUUUUUAAGUCAGGUGUCAAAGCGUGGAGCUUAACUCCAUUAAGCACUUGAAACUGAAAGACUUGAGUGAAGGAGAGGAAAGUGGAAUUCCUAGUGUAGCGGUGAAAUGCGUAGAUAUUAGGAAGAAUACCGGUGGCGAAGGCGACUUGCUGGACACAAACUGACGCUGAGGAACGAAAGCGUGGGUAGCAAACAGG
rnacentral:rRNA from 1 species